rnacentral:tRNA from 1 species
UCUCUGGUGGUUUAGUGGCUAAGACUCCACGUCUGCAAUGCAGGGGACCCAGGUUCAAUCCCUGGUCAGGGAA